rnacentral:rRNA from 1 species
CGCGGCCUAUCAGCUUGUUGGUGGGGUAACGGCCUACCAAGGCUAUGACGGGUAGCUGACGUGAGAGCGUGAUCAGCCACAUUGGGACUGAGACACGGCCCAGACUCCUACGGGAGGCAGCAGUGGGGAAUAUUGCGCAAUGGGCGAAAGCCUGACGCAGCGACGCCGCGUGGGGGACGAAGGCCUUCGGGUUGUAAACCCCUGUCAGGCGGAACGAAUCCCCUGAGGACGAACAAUCCUUGGGGUUGACGGUACCGCCAGAGGAAGCCCCGGCUAACUACGUGCCAGCAGCCGCGGUAAUACGUAGGGGGCAAGCGUUGCUCGGAUUUACUGGGCGUAAAGAGCGCGUAGGCGGCCAGGUAAGUCCGGUGUGAAAUUCCUCGGCUCAACCGAGGGCCCGCAUCGGAAACUACUUGGCUUGAGUCCAGGAGAGGAGGGUGGAAUUCCCGGUGUAGCGGUGAAAUGCGUAGAGAUCGGGAGGAACACCAGUGGCGAAGGCGGCCCUCUGGAAUGGUACUGACGCUGAGGCGCGAAAGCUGGGGGAGCGAACGGGAUUAGAUACCCCGGUAGUCCCAGCCGUAAACGAUGGGCACUAGGUGUGGGAGGUAUUGACCCCUUCCGUGCCGCAGUUAACGCAUUAAGUGCCCCGCCUGGGGAGUACGG